CCUGGCUCAGAUUGAACGCUGGCGGCAUGCCUUACACAUGCAAGUCGAACGGCAGCACGGACUUCGGUCUGGUGGCGAGUGGCGAACGGGUGAGUAAUGUAUCGGAACGUACCUUUCAGUGGGGGAUAACGUAGCGAAAGUUACGCUAAUACCGCAUAUUCUGUGAGCAGGAAAGCAGGGGAUCGCAAGACCUUGCGCUGAUUGAGCGGCCGAUAUCAGAUUAGCUAGUUGGUGGGGUAAAGGCCUACCAAGGCUACGAUCUGUAGCGGGUCUGAGAGGAUGAUCCGCCACACUGGAACUGAGACACGGUCCAGACUCCUACGGGAGGCAGCAGUGGGGAAUUUUGGACAAUGGGGGCAACCCUGAUCCAGCCAUGCCGCGUGAGUGAAGAAGGCCUUCGGGUUGUAAAGCUCUUUCGGCCGGGAAGAAAUCGCAUAGGCUAAUACCCUGUGUGGAUGACGGUACCGGAAUAAGAAGCACCGGCUAACUACGUG
rnacentral:rRNA from 1 species